rnacentral:rRNA from 1 species
AUUGAACGCUGGCGGCAGGCCUAACACAUGCAAGUCGAGCGGUAACACAGAGGGCUUGCUCUCGGGUGACGAGCGGCGGACGGGUGAGUAAUGUCUGGGAAACUGCCUGAUGGAGGGGGAUAACUACUGGAAACGGUAGCUAAUACCGCAUAACGUCGCAAGACCAAAGUGGGGGACCUUCGGGCCUCAUGCCAUCAGAUGUGCCCAGAUGGGAUUAGCUAGUAGGUGGGGUAAUGGCUCACCUAGGCGACGAUCCCUAGCUGGUCUGAGAGGAUGACCAGCCACACUGGAACUGAGACACGGUCCAGACUCCUACGGGAGGCAGCAGUGGGGAAUAUUGCACAAUGGGCGCAAGCCUGAUGCAGCCAUGCCGCGUGUAUGAAGAAGGCCUUCGGGUUGUAAAGUACUUUCAGCGAGGAGGAAGGCAUUAAGGUUAAUAACCUUGGUGAUUGACGUUACUCGCAGAAGAAGCACCGGCUAACUCCGUGCCAGCCGCCGCCGUAACAC